GACGACAGUGCUAAUUAGCAAUAGCGGACUUAAUUUACAUUUACUUGCGCAUUUGGCCCAUGUUAAUGUAAGUUUGUAAUGCACAAGAAUUUCGUGCAUUUAGCUGAAUUUACCGAAUUUGAGUAGCAAAACUGCUCAAAAAUGGCCGAUUUUUGCUAUUUUUUGAGAGAUGUCACUUGAAGUCUGCCGCCUCCUUUGCGUUUACAGCAUCAGAGAUGACAGAAAAUAAACAACGCACAGUUUGCUAUCCAUUUUUCCAAUAUUCUUAACUUUUCACACACUUUUUCCGCAUUACAAUCGAUUAUUGCUUUUUAUUUCACUCUAUAAUGUUUUAACGAAGUUAAUAAUAAACGAUUUUUUUCGUUAAAUUUA